GUUUAGGAUAGAUUCAAGUAGUUAAAAAUAAAUUUUAAUAGGGUUUGUAAGAAGUUCAGGUAUUGAGAAAAUGAAAUGGGUUCAAGUUCAGGUUCGGAUAAGGUAAAUUUAAUUUAUUGCUACCCUAUCCAUUGUCAUUCCUACAGAGAAUAAGUCAAAUUUAUAAAUUUUUAAUAGUUAAAAUCUCAUUUAACUAAAAAAGUUAUAUUAGCCAAAUCUAGCUAUGAUCCAAAGGUAAGACCUAAGACCUAAGA
rnacentral:misc_RNA from 1 species